UUGGAGGGCAAGUCUGGUGCCAGCAGCCGCGGUAAUUCCAGCUCCAAUAGCGUAUAUUAAAGUUGUUGCAGUUAAAAAGCUCGUAGUUGAAUUUCGGGAUCAGUACGCCGGUCGUGCCUUCGGUAUGCACUGGUGUCACUGGUUUCUCCCUUCUGAAGAACCAUCAUGCCAUUAAGUUGGUGUGGCGGGGAAUCAGGACUGUUACUUUGAAAAAAUUAGAGUGUUUAAAGCAGGCUCGCGCUUGAAUACAUUAGCAUGGAAUAAUGAAAUAGGACGUUUGACCCUAUUUUGUUGGUUUCUAGGAUCGACGUAAUGAUUAAUAGGGAUAGUUGGGGGCAUUAGUAUUCAAUUGUCAGAGGUGAAAUUCUUGGAUUUAUUGAAGACUAACUACUGCGAAAGCGUUUGCCAAGGAUGUUUUCAUUAAUCAAGAACGAAAGUUAGGGGAUCGAAGACGAUCAGAUACCGUCGUAGUCUUAACCAUAAACUAUGCCGACUAGGGAUCGGAUGAUGUUAAUUUUUUAAUGACUCAUUCGGCACCUUACGGGAAAC
rnacentral:rRNA from 1 species